UACGUAGGAGGCGAGCGUUGUCCGGAUUUAUUGGGCGUAAAGAGCGCGUAGGCGGCUAGUUAAGUCUGAUGUGAAAUCUCCCGGCCCAACUGGGAGGGGACAUUGGAUACUGGUUAGCUUGAGUGCAGCAGAGGGAGAUAGAAUUCCCGGUGUAGUGGUGAAAUGCGUAGAUAUCGGGAGGAAUACCAGUGGCGAAGGCGGUCUCCUGGGCUGUAACUGACGCUGAGGCGCGAAAGCGUGGGGAGCGAAC
rnacentral:rRNA from 1 species